rnacentral:misc_RNA from 1 species
CUUUACUUGUCUUAACCAAAACAACAACUACAUUAAAGCUUACUCUAACAAUAUCAUUCCUGUUUAGUUUCCAUUCUCAUGUAAAAUCAAAUCGUAAUUAGCAUUUUUCUAUUGUUUAGUAUAUACUUAGCCCAUAUUUAUAUCACCCAUCUGUACUAAAAAUUUAUGUAAGUAGAUGAGUUGAUGAAGGAAUAUGAAAUGACAAAAAGCUUAAACCUAUUGAUAAAACAACAAUAUCUAUUUCAUUGUCACUCUAGCUCAUCCAGUUUAACCUCGUGCUGUUCACCAGUAGAGAGGAUUUUUACACCAACCAUACCCUUUUGCCACUCUGUAUUUCCCACCAAUAUAAGCCUUUGGGCAUUUAUACGUGCUGCCCGUUUGAACACCCUGAGAAAGAAGGAUUUACAAGCUAACGUAGUAUUAUAAUUUCCCAAGAGGCAAGGCGAAAAUGAGGGAAUUCAAUACCAUUUAAGAGGUUUGUUUUCCAAAACUAAAUCAACACUUUGUCCUUUAUCUCUGAGUAAGGUAGCAACUUUAGCAGCUGCUCCUUGAAGAUCAUGGUCUAGAGCGCACACAAUGUUCUCUACUUGGACACUGAGUUCUGGUAUGAUACCCUUCUCCUUCAGUAG